GUGCUGAGUGUGACCGUGCCCAGCGGCGCUCGUGUGGAAGCUGGCUCCGCUGUGACACACCGAGAGGUGGGACCGGCAGGACUGCUAGGAGGAUGCCCCUCUCCACUGGGGGGCCGCAGUCUCCCCGACAAGGACAUCAGAUGUGGCCCCCGAUCUCAAACUCGCCAGCCUUCGAAAUGUGAGCCCAUAAGCAUCUUUUCUUCGUACAUUAGCCAGUGUCAGAUAUUCUGUCAGAGCAACAGAAAAGAGACUCAGGUCUCGGCCUCCCAAACCAUGCCCAGCCACGUCCACACAUUCGGCCUGCUUCCUUCUCCAUCAUGGUUCUCCCUCGCCUCCAACCUGCUUGUCGAAUGUAAUCAGGAAGAGGGGAGAAUGGAGUUCUUACGUGCACAGAGCACAUCCAGGAGCCAGCCUCGGGAGAGGCAGCAUCCCUCUGGCGGGAAGUCCCCAGGCACACUCAGGCAGGAACUGAACCAGAGGGAGGGAUCAGAGCGCCCCUGAAUCACCGUUAAAGCUUCCUCUAAAGGGCCAUUGGGAAUGACUGUGGAGCGCCUCCCAGCGGAAGAACUUGGCACCACCACCUAUGUGUCAUAACUACAUGCAGACAUCUUUCCAGGGCCGCCUUUGCCCCUGCUUUGCUUCUUUCCUGUUUGCUUCCCUCCCUGUCUCUGUCCUUCUCCUUCUUCCCUUCCUGUCUUCCUUCCUUCCGUGACUAUAGAAGAACUGCCCUGGUCCGGGUGCUGUUCUCACACCAGAAGUGACUGUCACCCGCCCCACAGGGACAGCAAGCCCACAG
rnacentral:lncRNA from 1 species